AAAAUUAAAAAAAUGGGGUUUUAAAAAGCUGAAAGCACUAUGUCCGGUCAAUAAAGCGCCAUAUCUUUCAUAAUACUUCAUCAAAUUGAAUGAUUGAAACACCAUUUUGAAGGAAAGCUUCACUACUUGAGCUACCCAGCAAAAUGCCACGUGUUUUUUGUGGUCAUGAAUAUAAACUUGCAACAAAACUUAAAUGCUGUUCACUCAAAACGCAUAACGCAGCAAUGGCUCAUAUCGAAACUCAUCAAGAAACUAAAAUAGAAAAACUAGCAUAAUCGCGCUACUCCCGAAAGUGUUUGUCUCUGUUCCUGAGUGAUCUGGCAUUUUUGAAUUGUGGAGGAAAAAAAACAAAAGAAGUGCAACAUGCUGAGCUCCACGACAUUUGUAUCCACUGGACCUGUGGAGGUACCGAAAGCUCUCCGAGAUGGAGAAAAGUUCAUCAAAUGGGAUG